AAGAUGGGGCAGUGUAUAAACGUGUGAAAGGUAGACAGGGGUCCACUCGUGCAGGGGAUGUAUGUCAUGCUGAGGAGACCAGACACUGAUUGCGACUAUAUUUUCA